GGGCAACAGCUCAAAUUUGAAAUCUGGCUCUUUUAGGGUCCGAGUUGUAAUUUGGAGAGGAUGUUUCGGGUACGGUCCGGGCUUAAAUUUCUUGGAACAGAAUGUCAAAGAGGGUGAGAAUCCCGUCUGGAGCUCGGGCACGGCCUAUGUGAAACUCCUUCGACGAGUCGAGUUGUUUGGGAAUGCAGCUCUAAAUGGGUGGUAAAUUUCAUCUAAAGCUAAAUAUUGGCCAGAGACCGAUAGCGCACAAGUAGAGUGAUCGAAAGAUGAAAAGCACUUUGAAAAGAGAGUUAAAAAGUACGUGAAAUUGUUGAAAGGGAAGCGCUGGCAACCAGACUUGCGCGUCGGGGUUCCCCCUUGCUUCUGCUUGGGUUACUCCCCGGCGUUCAGGCCAACAUCGGUUUCGGGGGUUGGUUAAAGGCCUUGGGAAUGUACUUACCCUCCGGGGUAAACUUAUAGCCCAGGGUGUCAUGCGACCUCCCGGGACCGAGGAACGCGCUUCGGCUCGGAUGUUGGCGUAAUGGUUGUCAGCGACCCGUCUUGAAACACGGACCAAGGAGUCUAACAUCUAUGCGAGUGUUAGGGUGUCAAACCCUUACGCGGAAUGAAAGUGAACGGAGGUAGGAAGCCAUUAGGCUGCACUAUCGACCGAUCCUGAAGUUUACGGAUGGAUUUGAGUAAGAGCAUAGCUGUUGGGACCCGAAAGAUGGUGAACUAUGCCUGAAUAGGGUGAAGCCAGAGGAAACUCUGGUGGAGGCUCGCA
rnacentral:rRNA from 1 species